rnacentral:misc_RNA from 1 species
GCAAACUUGGUCAUUUAGAGGAAGUAAAAGUCGUAACAAGGUUUCCGUAGGUGAACCUGCGGAAGGAUCAUUAACAAAUCUAUCCUACUACCUGUGCAAACGUUCGCGUCGCUGGCAGCAAGCCCCAAAGGGUGGACCACGCGUGUGGUCCAGCUGCCAGCGACUGCACCAUUACAUUAUGUGCUUUGAUGGUCAGAUGUAACUGGAAACUGAAUGACAACUUUUAACAAUGGAUCUCUUGGCUCUUGCAUCGAUGAAGAACGCAGC